ensembl:lncRNA
CCCGGGCAGCUGUGCCAGAGCAUCACCUCUCUUUCAGAAAACAAUGCUUCCCAGCAUCCAACCGGAACCUCUCCAGCACGAUUUGAAGAGCACGAAGAUGCUGAAGAUCUGAGGAUGGAGAUGAGGGAAAACGCUUCCUGGCAGGUCUGGCUGCUGGGAAUGGCUGUGCCUUGCAGGUCUCCCUGCAGGCAGUACUGCCCGAGAUGGGACAACAAACCCCAGGAGAGCCGGGGCUGCUCAGGAGGCCACUUCCCCCUCUGAGCAUCCUCCCAGUGCCUCUCCCCUCUGCUGAGCCAUUGCACAAGAGGGGCACUGGGGCCGCUCUUCCUCCUGUGCGUGACGUUUUCCUGCUCGUGCUCCCCACCAGCAACGGCUGCAACUGCCCCGUGCCUCCAGCCCAUGCUUUCCCUUAAUGAUUUCCCAGCGUGUGAUGGAUACGCUGCAAUUAUGAGUAUGAAUCACGAAGAUUUGCAACGUUUAUAAUUAAUAAUCUCUCUUGGAGAGGGAGCUGAAGCGGGCUGCUGUGGCACAUCCCUUCUCUAAGAGGUUUUCAACUCCACAUUCAUCAUCCGACUGCUCUUUAAGGGAGCUCAGCCCUUCCCAGGCACCGCGAUGGCCCCAGGAUCCUCUGCCAUGGGGACACGGCUGCAGGCAGCAGGCUCCAUCCUAUGGCUCCUGUGCUCUGUUUUCCCUCUGGGGGUGAGCAGCUCAUGUUUUCUCACAUUUUUCUGAAGUCACUCUGUGUUUUUAGAAGGGCGCACUAAGCUGGGAAGGUUUUUUUCGCAGCAGUGUGUUUGCUUUGGGCACUGCCUCUGCACCGCCGUGCUCCGACUGCUGUUUUACACUGUGUUGAACUGUGUUGUCCCCCUGCUCGGAUUUGCUACAGCCUUGCUGCAACCAGAGGGCACGGGGGCAGGGCAGGAUUGUUUGGCCGAUGGAGGGCACAGCUUUGCCAGGCGCGGGGAGGAAAACAGGGAGCAUCACAGCCUUGGCUUUACCCCAGGGCUCUGCACUGGGCAUAUGUUUCUAACAGGGAACAUCUCUGGGGGAAGUGUCCAUUCUUGUUGGGUGUCACCAUGAGGUCCUCAGCCUUCCUGAGACUCUUGCAGGGUGUUUCUCAGAAAAUGGAGAUGGAAAUAUUCAGCCAUGGGAUGGAGAUGUUCAGUAUUGGGAUGGAGAUGUUCAGAACUGGGAUGGAGAUGUUCAGCACUGGGAUGGAGAUGUUCAGCAUGGGAUGGAGAUGUUCAGUAUGGGAUGGAGAUGUUCAGUAUUGGGAUGGAGAUGUUCAGAACUGGGAUGGAGAUGUUCAGCAUUGGGAUGGAGAUAUUCCACUUUGGGAUGCAGAUGUGUGGCACUGGGAUGGAGAUGUUCAGAUUUGGGAUGAAGAUGUUCAGCAUUGGGAUGGAAAAGUUCAGCACUGGGGGUGGAGAUGUUCAGUGUUGGGAUGGAGAUACGCAGCACUGGGAUGGCGAUGUUCAGCACUGGGGUGGAGAUAUUCAACACUGGGAUGGAAAUGUUCAGCAGUGGGGUGGAGACGUUCAGCAAUGGGAUGGAGAUAUUCAGUGUUGAGAUGUUCAACAUUGGGAUAGAGAAGUUCAACACUGGGAAGGACACAUUCAGUGUUGGGAUGGAGAUAUUUGGCAUGGAGACGGAGAUGUUCAGCAGCCAUCAGCAGCCUGCUUGCCCAGCCCAAACUCACCCGAAGUGACCACUGCCCUGUAGCAAGAGUGGAGGACGUUCAAACCCUUAAUUUUGGACCAGGUGAAAUCUUCCUUAUCAUAAAAAGGAGACGGGGUGGGGGUGUCCGCAUUUCCCAGCUGGGUGUCCCUACAUCCCACAUCCCACCCAGGCUCUGCUGGUGCCACCAGGAGGUGGAAGAUGUGGGGGCAGCAGGAGCAGUGGGCUGUGCUCUGGGCUGGGCUGCUGAGCCCACGAGUAUGGGGAAAUAGCUGGGAAGAGCCAGCUGGCCCUGCUCCUCCAGCACUGCUGCAUCGCCUGGCCGGGGAAUAGUUGAAGCUUUGCCACGAGGAGCCUGGCUGUGUUGCAAAGCCCUUCCCAUUCCCUGGGAAUCGGGCAGCAGAGAGAGCAAAACGCUGGAGACCUCAUCCUGGCUGGAGCCGUGUCCUGUUGUCUUCAGCACACAUGUAAUUAUGGUGCACAUCAUUACAGUGAUACGACCCCAGGGCUCUGCGUCCCGUGAUCCAGAAUGCUGGGGACAGGUGACACAGCAGCCAGUGCUAAGGCCUCCAAGGGGCCCAGCUCCGGACCCAUACCCAGCUGCAAAUCACAGGGCGAGGAAAGAAGGACCCAUAGUGCUUCUGGUGGCUUUCCCUUAAUAGAUCCUGGGUUUUGAUGUCAUGCUCAUACUUUUGGAUUCCGCACCCCAUUGCACUGAGUGCAUCAUCCCAAUAAACAGCCCCCAAGGUAAACCUGAGCUGUGCAGGGAGGAAAAUGACCUCAAACCAACUCCUGGUGCUCCUAAAGGGCUGCUGCACCUGCAGUGCCUCACUGCUGCCUCCGUCCUGAGCCAACGGGAACAGCAAUAGGUGCCUUUGGGUCCCUGCUGACCCCAGCCCCCUGGGUUUGUGCUCUGUAGGGUUGCAAACUUGUAUUCGUUGCACUUUUCAUUCAGAGCCAGCAGGGUUAUGUGCACUCUGGGUGUGAGCUGGGCUCGUGCCCACACUUGGCCAUGGGUUGGGUUUCAAC